GACGAACGCUGGCGGCGUGCCUAAUACAUGCAAGUUGAGCGAUGAAGAUUGGUGCUUGCACCAAUUUGAAGAGCAGCGAACGGGUGAGUAACGCGUGGGGAAUCUGCCUUUGAGCGGGGGACAACAUUUGGAAACGAAUGCUAAUACCGCAUAACAACUUUAAACAUAAGUUUUAAGUUUGAAAGAUGCAAUUGCAUCACUCAAAGAUGAUCCCGCGUUGUAUUAGCUAGUUGGUGAGGUAAAGGCUCACCAAGGCGAUGAUACAUAGCCGACCUGAGAGGGUGAUCGGCGACAUUGGGACUGAGACACGGCCCAAACGCCUACGGGAGGCAGCAGUAGGGAAUCUUCGGCAAUGGACGAAAGUCUGACCGAGCAACGCCGCGUGAGUGAAGAAGGUUUUCGGAUCGUAAAACUCUGUUGGUAGAGAAGAACGUUGGUGAGAGUGGAAAGCUCAUCAAGUGACGGUAACUACCCAGAAAGGGACGGCUAACUACGUG
rnacentral:rRNA from 1 species